CAGCACACCCCUUUCUCCAACUUAUACGGAUGUCAUUCAGAACAGUAAACAUACUUCGAAGAAAAUACUGGAUCAUUUUGCGGAUUUUGAACACAAGUGUUAUGCAGAACUAAUGGUGUUACAAGAAAAGAGAGAGAAAGCUAACAGAAAGUUCAGAAGGAUGCAAGAAACCAUCACCACGAAACCUACUGAAAAAAGGAUGAAAAUAGAACAGUUUCUCCUCCAAAUGGCAAAUGCCAAGAUACAACGUCAUGGCUCUUGUGGAUCACAAUCGGGAGCCAAAGAUGCCUGACAUCAAGAUACGUGCUGUGAAUGCUGAUGGGAUUCUUUUUUUUUCCUUCCGCCAAAAUUAAGUAUAUUCAACUUUUGGUAUGAAGUGGGCUCUGGCUUCCGAAUCAAUAAAGAAUGAGACAGAGUCAUUGGGCCUUUUUUCCCCCUCCCCUUUAAUUCCAAUCUGGUUCGUUUCCAUAAUUUUAACCGAUACAUUUUGGCAAAUCGUGUUUUAUAUUGCAAAGUCCAGACAGAAAUCAACAUUUUGGAUGAUUAUGUUGGAAGCAUAUUUUAAGAAAGAAAGAAAUAAUAGAAAGAUUAAUAGCGCUUUUGAGAGAGAGAGAGAGAGAGAGAGAGAGAGAG